AAAAGAAGAGGGUGAAAAAGAAGAAGGUGAAAAAGAAGAGAAAAAGGAAAAGAAAGAAAAAAAGAAAGAAGAAAAAGAGAAGAAGACAGCAAGAUAUAUUCUGAUUCGACCUCCCACUUACACCUAUCCAGCAAGAUCUAUGCAGCCGUACGUAUAUUCCGCACCUUACAUGCCUUAUAAAACAUAUCCCGAAUCAUAUCCAGCUAAAGCUAGUUACUCUUAUUAUUAUUAGAGUCAAUUGUCAAUGCAUACGAAGAAUAUGCUGCUUGAAUGUACAACUCAUCUGUUCUCGUCUACAAUUUUGAGACACCAGGCAUGUAUUUUAUCAUCAGCUAUUCCACUGUGCUCCUCAGAAAAUCAAUAGUAUAUGAAAUCAUCAAGCAGUGAAUAGACUUUCUGAUAAUUUGUAAACUCGUGCAUUGUUCAUGUUAUUUUGAUAUUAGAGUUGUAUUUUUAAUAUAGCUUUGAAAUUUGAUUGUGAUUCUUUUGUAUAAAAAUUUAAAUAUUAUUGCGUAAAAUUAAUUACAUUGUUAUUUUUAAGCUGAGCAUUGUCUAUAAAAAUCAAGUUUGUAAAAAUAUUUGCUUGUUUUUGAUGUUUAUAAAGUUGUUAAAUUCUG